UGUCAAAAUUUCUGUGACAUAAAAUUUAGACAUUUCAAGUUUUUGGAGUGUUUGUUUUCGUUUUUUUUUUGUUUAUUUGUUUAUUUAUUUAAAAAAAAAGAAGACUGAAAACGUAUGCUCUUUUCAUUUAAGUAAACAUCGCAAACAUUUUGUAUAGUUUGAAAUUGAAAGCGGAGAGCUUAUUUUUAGCUCUGACUUGUUUAUCUAGUGUGUGGUGAUAAACACUAACUUGUGGAAAUUUUUUUUGUCUUCGCACAGUUAUGCUAAAAUCAAAACCGUACACACCAUCAUCAUCAUGCUAUCAAUUGUAGCUACGUUAAUUAUUGGACUAAGUGGAGUGCUUGUGUUUUUUGUUGACGAAAGCCAGACUGCCUUCGGACUAAGCUUUGUUAUACUAAUAUGCGCUUGUGGUAUUACAUUACACAGUGACUACUCAAAGGAUGAUGCCAAGAAGCUGGGACGACUCAAAUUUUACUGUAUUGCUAGUAUGGCAAUGAUCUGUUUCCAUUUGGGCCUGGCCGCUUUCCGGCUCGAGAAGUAUUACGACAGUGGCGAUCGAUUCGCUGUAAUUACAUUGGUGAACUUCGUCACAUCAGAACUGUUUCUAACGUAUAGCAUAAUUUGUACAAUGAUAACGUUGAAGAAAACGAAAGACAAAUUGACGCAGACGGCCCAGACGAAUCAGCCACUAGUUUGAUUGACGACAAAAUUUAGUUUUACAUGUUGGCCUUUGGACAAUCUUAACUCAACGUCUUCAUUAAGCAGGGCCUAAUAUUUUAAGGGAAACAUUUUUUUUAUAUGUGUGUGGUCAUCAGAACCAGUGCACAGAGGACAAAAAACUGAAUCGUAACAUUAUGCGGGUAAACUUCUUUUGACAUGACAUUUACAAUAAACGUAAUUUUAGUAAAUCGAAA